GGGUCAGUAGGUUGGUCGUGCCACCGGUACGUACUGGUCUCACUGAUUCCUCCUUCCUGAAGAACCGUAAUGCCAUUAAUUUGGUGUUGCGGGGGAACAGGACUGUUACUUUGAAUAAAUUAGAGUGUUUAAAGCAAGCUAACGCUUGAAUACAUUAGCAUGGAAUAAUGAAAUAGGACGAUCGAUCCUAUUUUGUUGGUUUCUAGGAUUGACGUA
rnacentral:rRNA from 1 species